UACAGAGGGUGCAAGCGUUGUUCGGAAUUACUGGGCGUAAAGCGUGCGUAGUCGGUAUUGAGAGUCACGGGUGAAAUCCCAGGGCUUAACCCUGGAACUGCCUGUGAGACCUCAGUACUAGAGUGUGAGAGGGGAUAGUGGAAUACCCAGUGUAGCGGUGAAAUGCGUAGAGAUCCGGAAGAACACCGGUGGCGAAGGCGGUCUGCUGGGGUCGAACUGACGCUGAGGCGCGACAGCGUGGGGAGCAAACAGG
rnacentral:rRNA from 1 species